rnacentral:rRNA from 1 species
AUAAGGAGUCGGACCUGCCCAGUGAAUAAUUUUAAACGGCCGCGGUACUCUGACCGUGCAAAGGUAGCAUAAUCAUUUGCCCUAUAAUUGAGGGCUAGUAUGAAUGGUUUGACAAGAAUAAAGCUGUCUCCGUACAAUUAUAUAGAAUUUUAUUUUUAGGUGAAGAAGCCUAAAUUGAAUUAAAAGACAAGAAGACCCUAUCGAGCUUUAAAACAAUUAAUAAGUUAAUAAACAUAGUUAUAAAACAAUAUUUAUUAAAGAUUUUGGUUGGGGCGACUAAGGAACAAACAAAGCUUCUUUUAAACUAAAAAUUACAGACGAGUGUUGAUCCAAAAAAUUUUGAUUAAAGAAAUUAGUUACCGUAGGGAUAACAGCAUUAUCUUUUUUGAGAGCUCAUAUCGAAAAAAAGGUUUGUGACCUCGAUGUUGGACCAGAAUAUCCCAAAGAUGCAGAAGUCUUUAAAGGUUGGUCUGUUCGACCAUUAAAAUUCU